rnacentral:rRNA from 1 species
CGCGUAGGCGGGCCUUCAAGUCGGGUGUGAAAACCGGCAGCUUAACUGCCGGCCUGCAUUCGAUACUGUCGGUCUUGAGUACAGGAGGGGAAAGUGGAAUUCCAGGUGUAGCGGUGGAAUGCGUAGACAUCUGGAAGAACACCAGUAGCGAAGGCGACUUUCUAGCCUGAUACUGACGCUAAAGCGCGAAGGCUAGGGGAGCAAACA